AGAGGAUCACUUGAACCCGGGAGGCAGGAGCUGCAGUGAGCUGAGAUCGCGCCACUGCACUCCAGCCUGGGUGACAGAG
rnacentral:snRNA from 1 species